rnacentral:tRNA from 1 species
GUCCAGGAGCUGGAAUCGAACCCACAACCUUCUGCUUACCGGGCAGGUGCCAUGUCCACUAGACUAUCCUGGA